UACGGGGGGAGCAAGCGUUGUCCGGAUUUACUGGGCGUAAAGGGCGCGUAGGCGGCGUGACAAGUCACUUGUGAAAUCUCCGGGCUUAACUCGGAGCGGUCAAGUGAUACUGUCGUGCUAGAGUGCGGAAGGGGCUACUGGAAUUCUCGGUGUAGCGGUGAAAUGCGUAGAUAUCGAGAGGAACACCUGCGGCGAAGGCGGGUAGCUGGGCCGACACUGACGCUGAUGCGCGAAAGCCAGGGGAGCGAACGGG
rnacentral:rRNA from 1 species